GAGAGAGAGAGAUGGGAAUUCUUGGGUCCCCUCUGGGGAAUGGAUUUGUCCAUCUUUUCCCCUGCCUCCCCAUCCUGAAGUUUCCAUGGAAGUCUGCAGUGAAGUUCUCAUUUAACAAGAAAAAGGCGGCAGCAGCAGGGAAGCAUUUCCCGGAAUCCAGGAGGAAGCAUGAGUCACUGGCCUGCUAAGUGAGCCCUGCGUGGCCACUACGGCACCAGCCCAGGAGGCCUGGAGCACAGGGCCAGCCUCCAGGACCGCGCCAGGCUGCCCGCAUAGACAUGCCCACUGCCCGGGCUGACGCAGGCUCUGGGAAUGCAAACAAAGGUGACAUAAGUGCUGCUUUGGAGCCAGAAGCCAGCGUUCUGGGAUCUAGAGGUGAUGGAAGGUGCUGGGCCCAACGUGCACGCUUGGCCCGUGCUGGGUCCAGCAGAGAAGGAGGGCCAAUGGGCAAACUGCCAACCUGAAACCUGGAGAGAAGGGGGAAUAUGCAGAAGCACAACCCGGAUCAGCUCAUCGGGGGCAGAAGCCACCAGAGCCAGUAACUCUUAGGAUUACUUAAAUGAUGGUGAUUGUGAGGACCUGAUGGAAGCUGGGUGUGGACUGGAUUGCAAGUUACAAACGUGGUCCCCUCCUAGGGACGCCCGUACUUUUAUGGGCUUCACCCCCAGGAGCCCUACCCAGUUCAUAUGAUGAAGAUCAGAGAAAAACCCCUUCUGUUUGGAGCAGAAAAAAUAAACACUUUGCAAUAU